rnacentral:ncRNA from 2 species
GCUUCAUCGGGCGAUGGAGUCCGCCUGCCCCAACCGCUGGGUUUCCAGCUGAUGACUCCUUCUCCAGC